rnacentral:rRNA from 1 species
UACGAAGGGAGCUAGCGUUGUUCGGAAUCACUGGGCGUAAAGCGCACGUAGGCGGAUUUGUCAGUCAGGGGUGAAAUCCCGGGGCUCAACCUCGGAACUGCCUUUGAUACAGCAAGUCUUGAGUUCGAGAGAGGUGGGUGGAAUUCCUAGUGUAGAGGUGAAAUUCGUAGAUAUUAGGAAGAACACCGGUGGCGAAGGCGGCCCACUGGCUCGAUACUGACUGCUGAGGUGCGAAAGCGUGGGGAGCAAACAGGGAU